GGCGACUUAGCCAAGCGGUCUAAGGCGCCAGACUAAGGUUUCCGGUGUACACUGUUGGUUUCCGUAUCUGGUUCUUCGGAGCGCGAGUUCGAAUCUCGCAGUCGUCA